GUGUCAGCAGCCGCGGUAAUACGGAGGGUGCGAGCGUUAAUCGGAAUUACUGGGCGUAAAGCGCAUGCAGGUGGUUUGUUAAGUCGGAUGUGAAAGCCCGGGGCUCAACCUCGGAAUUGCAUUUGAAACUGGCAGGCUAGAGUACUGUAGAGGGGGGUAGAAUUUCAGGUGUAGCGGUGAAAUGCGUAGAGAUCUGAAGGAAUACCGGUGGCGAAGGCGGCCCCCUGGACAGAUACUGACACUCAGAUGCGAAAGCGUGGGGAGCAAACAGGAUUAGAUACCCCCGUAGUCC
rnacentral:rRNA from 1 species